rnacentral:rRNA from 1 species
AUUGAACGCUGGCGGCAGGCCUAACACAUGCAAGUCGAGCGAGCGGCGGACGGGUGCGUACUGUCUGGGAAACUGCCUGAUGGCGGGGGAUCACUACUGGAAACGGUAGCUAAUACCGCAUACCAUCAGAUGUGCCCAGAGGGGAUUAGCUAGUAGGUGGGGUAACGGCUCACCUAGGCGACGAUCCCUAGCUGGUCUGAGAGGAUGACCAGCCACACUGGAACUGAGACACGGUCCAGACUCCUACGGGAGGCAGCAGUGGGGAAUAUUGGACAAUGGGCGCAAGUCUGAUGCAGCCAUGCCGCGUGUGUGAAGAAGGCCUUCGGGUUGUAAAGCUCUUUCGUCGGGGAGGCGUUACCCGCAGAGGAAGCACCGGCUAACUCCGUGCCAGCAGCCGCGGUAAUAC